ACAUAGGAAUGUUAGGGAUGAGAUUACUACUUCUUUUUCACCUAAACUGAAUACUAGUGAUUUGUCAUUGCCGGAAAAUCUUCCAAAACCACAAAAAAUCUUAAAAAAUACUUCAAGAAAAAAAAGUAUAGAUAGCAAUGAGUCCAAUGAUACUUUGUCUAGUAAAAGAAGUGUAGAGAGCAAUGAGUCUAAUGCGAUAUUUGGUGAACAACUUCGACUUCUUUUGUCUAAAUCAGGUACAGGUAGAUGUAUAUUGCAACUGGCAAAGCAAAGAUCUUAUUUAAAGCAUGAU